rnacentral:rRNA from 1 species
UAAAAAGCUCGUAGUUGAAACUGUGUCCUGCGGCGUCGGUCUACCGAUUGCGGUACGACAGACGCGUCUGCGGGGCUUCUCGCCGGUGGRUCGUUUGCGGUGUUCGUYUGUGCUYGCACAGWCWUUCAUCGCUUKGAUUCGCGGCUGUUUACUUUGAACAAAUUAGAGUGCUCAAAGCGGGCUAUUUUCGCCUGAAUAUUGUGCGCAUGGAAUAAUAGAAUAGGACCUCGGUUCAAUUUUGUUGGCUUUCUGAUACCAGAGGUAAUGAUUAAUAGGGACAACUGGGGGCAUUCGUAUUGCGACGUUAGAGGUGAAAUUCUUGGAUCGUCGCAAGACGGACUAAAGCGAAAGCAUUUGCCAAAGGUGUUUUCAUUAAUCAAGAACGAAAGUUAGAGGUUCGAAGGCGAUUAGAUACCGCUGUAGUUCUAACCAUAAAUGAUGCCAGCCAGCGAUCCGCCGAAGGAAUUAAUUUGAUUCGGUGGGCAGCUCCCGGGAAACCAAAGCUUUCGGGCUCCGGGG